AUUGAACGCUGGCGGAAUGCUUUACACAUGCAAGUCGAACGGUAGAGGGGGCAACCCCUCGAGAGUGGCGAACGGGUGAGUAAUAUAUCGGAACGUGCCCAGUCGUGGGGGAUAACGUAGCGAAAGUUACGCUAAUACCGCAUACGAUCUACGGAUGAAAGCGGGGGACUCGCAAGAGCCUCGCGCGAUUGGAGCGGCCGAUAUCAGAUUAGGUAGUUGGUGAGGUAAAGGCUCACCAAGCCAACGAUCUGUAGCUGGUCUGAGAGGACGACCAGCCACACUGGAACUGAGACACGGUCCAGACUCCUACGGGAGGCAGCAGUGGGGAAUUUUGGACAAUGGACGCAAGUCUGAUCCAGCCAUUCCGCGUGCAGGAUGACGGUCCUAUGGAUUGUAAACUGCUUUGUACGGGAAGAAACACUCCUUCGUGAAGGAGCUUGACGGUACCGUAAGAAUAAGGAUCGGCUAACUCCGUGCCAGCAGCCGCGGU
rnacentral:rRNA from 1 species